GCGACCCCAGGUCAGGCGGGGCUACCCGCUGAAUUUAAGC
rnacentral:rRNA from 1 species